ensembl:lncRNA
UUUUUUUGUCUUAUUAAUGUCAAGAGAGAGAGAGAUAAAGGUAUGGAAGCUUAUUUCCACUACGUAUGAGAAAAUGUUAUGCAGAAUGAUCUCACAAUUACCUUCUUUUUAUCUCACAUCCUGUUAACACACUCUCCAGGAGUGGCCCAGCCCCGCUGAAAAGAAUACUUCACUUAGGUUAUAUUGCCUCGCAACACAUUGCUAGGUUUUUGUUGUGGAUUGAUUAUGGGAAACGGAAGCACAGAGUCACAACUGUUAAAUAUUAACUCGCAGGUGAAACGUACAGUCGCAAUUGUGUGAAAAUAACGAGAUUUUUAGAGCUGCUAUAACAUAAAACGGGAACCAACUUGAUUCUUGGAUGUUCCACAACAUUCAACAUAUUAAUAAAUGAGUAAAAAUCACAUAUUCUUUAAUGAAUUAAUAUCCCACUUCAUCUCAGGCCACAUCACACCACCCCACCAUUGAAUACUUUCCUAUAACAUGCUCCCAAAGUGCUUUAUUCCUUAAACAAAACCAUAUGUCCUUCUUCUAAUGAACUCACUCAAACAUUUUAAAAAGAAGUCAAACAUCAGAUAUCCACGAAGACUGUGGAAGCAAAUUGUAGUAGUAUCUGUGGUACCUGCUCCUCUUUCAAUGUUCAUAAGGUGUAGUCUGCUCUAGUUUUAGCUGUUCAUGUAUUGUUCUUGUUUAUUGAUAUGAUGUUUGGUUAUGCUAACUGUACCCCCCCCCCCCUCUAGUUGACUUAAUUUAACCAAUGUUACUUCAUUAAUUUUGUGACUUACAUACUGAUAUCUUUCUAGUUCUAGGUUCAAGUUUGCAGUAACUGUCUAAAAUAUGAUUUAGUAUAACCUAAUUAUGACAUGAAAUCCAUGUAAUUGCUUCAGAAUUGAAGUAUAAACACUGAAAUGCUUAUUUUACCAGCCUAAUGGCUUCACCUAACUGCAAAAUCUAUCACUGGCAAACAUGGCUGCGCUUCCACAGCACAGAACAGUGUAAACUUUAAAAAAAAAUUUUUUGUGACUAACCUCAUUAACACACCAUUCAUUUGAAAUUGAAGGUAACAUUUUAUUUAAAAAAAUAAUAAUAAUGUAACAUUACAGUUUCUGCAUAAACCGUGAUCAAAGUUGAACUUCAAACUUCUGCAGUGUUCAGAAAUAACUAGCAGUUAAGCCUUACGUACCAGAUGAGGUAGACGCUUCCCCUCUUCAGGAAAAUAAUUAAGCAGAAAUAUUUAACAUUAGCAAUGGAGUGUGGUUAAUUUUCUUAGUUAAAGCAGUUUUGUAUAUGAAAGUUCUACAAAAAUAAAGACUUUGUUAUUUAAAAAAGUAGUAUAUAUAUAUAUAUAUAUAUAUAUAUAUAUAUAUAUAUAUAUAAAAUACAUAUUUAAAUGGAUAUAAAAAAAAAGUUUUCAAUUUAAACAAAAGGGAUGUGGCUGUACACUACUAGUCAAACGUUUUGGAAAAACUAGGGCUUCUUAUGAUUACAUUACAUCCAUAUCACAGCACUGUUGAACUCUUGAUUCUGACUGGGUCAAGUUCUCCGACACAGGAAUGUCGGAAAAAUGAAGGACAUUGUACUUUGUCAGUAACAUGACACGUUUCAUUGUCUUAUUAACUUCAAGAGAGAGGACAAAAAGAGAUCCUGGUGAGAGAACUGGUUAUAGCUGUUACAAUUUAAACGAUACCAGGAACAAGCUAGUUGCAUGGAUGUUUCACCCCAUUAAAUGCAACUAUAAAUGGAUAAAAAUGAUGUGGAAAUUCACUAACAAAAAUAUACAUGAUUUGGAUUACAAAAAUAUGCAUUUUCGAAACUUUGACGGUUAAAGUAAAUGGUUCUGUUACGAUAGCCGUGAAAACCGUGCUCCAUAGUUAGGGAUAAAAACAACUUACAUUUUGUAAUAAGCGAAAAACCCCAAAACAAAACAAAACAAGCACCCUAACAUUUUGAAGUGAAAUAAAUAAAUAAAUAAAUAAAUCAAUCACAGAUGGUCUCUCUUUCUCUUCUUUUUGAGUUUUGCACUGUCGGUCCAUGAACACCAAUUUGACUUGCCAGAGACAGCGACUUUUUCAGCUCCGAGUGUGGCAUCUAGAUCAUUAUCUGGGUCUCUUACUUGCUUCUUUUUCUUAAUAUGUACUAAUAAUGCACCCCCUGAGGAUGAAAUACUGUCCUUUUUAGCAUGGCAUGUGUCUAAAGCAUCUCUUGAUUCUUCUGCAGCAAAUAGCUUAGGUACAACAUCUAAAAUCUGAUUCCCACCUCUAUCAACUGUGUCCUUUCUAUUCUUUUUCUUCUUCUCCUUCUCAAUUAUUGCUUCUGAAGGUUCUGAUGGAGAACCACUCUCCUGCCACAAUUCAUGUUCAACAAUCUCAGGAUACACUUCUAUGUCUGUUUCUACCCAUUGCUGCUUCUUCUUCUUCUUCUUCUUUUUCCUUCCAUUAGGCUGUAUGGUAUCCUCUGACUGCAGUACUUGUUGGCUACUUUCAGAACGGUCAUCUUUGGUCCUCUCACAUUUGUUUGUCUCAUUGGUGUCAUUUUGUCCACUACUUGAAGCUUCUUUCACUACUCUUGUCUGUUUAGUAUUUUGCCAAUGGGAGUCAUCCAGAUGCAACAAGCCGUGAGAAACCGACCACGAUCCAUCAUUUUCCAACUCUUUCCUUUUCCUCUUCUUUUUCUUCUUCUUCACUGGUUCUGAUCCACCAACACCUUCCUCCUCACCAAUCCCUCCAGUCUCACUUCUGGUGCUUGGGGUAUUGGAUGUUGUCAUCUCUAUGAGAUCAAGUCUGAGAGACACGGAUGCAUUUUUAGACGUCUCCUCUUCUUGAUGCGUUUUAAUUCUGCCCUUUUUCUUCUUUGGCUUUCUCACCAGAACCACCUCAGCUGCUUGCUGCUCAGAAUCUUGAGUAUUUGGAGCCUCCACUUGUUCUGUCGUCUCUACCAACAAUGCCUCAACGUCCAUAUUUUCUUCCCUGACCACCUUUUGCCGUUUCCUUUUUUUCCUCUUCUUCCUUUGAGUUAUAGAGUGAUCUGUCAAAUCUAUGCUAUUCACUGGUUGGAUUUCUAUGCCUGCUGGUAUUUCGGGGAUUUUCUCCAACGGUUCUCCAAUAUUCUUACUGGCCGUAGCCAUCUCUCCUACUUGUCCUUCUCCAACAUCAUCUAUAAACAUUUUCUUCUUUUUCUUGACAGUUUUGAUACCAUGGCUUGAAUAAGAUUCUUCACUACACUGCCAAGCCACGAUCUCAGUUAUCACAGGACUUGAAUCCUGUUUCGUCUUCGCCCUUUUCUUUUUCUUUUUCCUUUGUGGUUCAAGACAAUCAGACUGAACAAAAUUAGAAAGAUCAGUUCUGGUCAGCUGCUCAGUUUCCUCAGCUAUAGACACCAAAGAAGCUGAACCUUGACAGGGGAUCUGGAUAGCCUCCUCUACACCAAUCCAUUCAUCUUCCUGAGGCACUGGUUGACCAUGUUUGUCUUUUUUUCUCUUUUUCUUUGGUUUAAUUCCAUUCACUGAAGCACAAACCACUGAAGAGUCCUGAACUGAUAGACCAGAGUCUGCAGCAACACUGAUGUCUGGCAAGGUGUCAACUGGUUCCUCCAACAACCGAUCAUUUUUGUCCUUUUUUCUCUUUUUCUUUGCUUUACUUCCACUAACUGAAGCACAAACCACUGAAGAGUCCUGAACUGAUAGACCAGAGUCUGCAGCAACACUGAUGUCUGGCAAGGUGUCAACUGGUUCCUCCAACAACCGAUCAUUUUUGUCCUUUUUUCUCUUUUUCUUUGCUUUACUUCCACUAAUUGAAGCACAAACCACUGAAGAGUCCUGAACUGAUAGACUCGAGUCUGCAGCAACACUGAUGUCUGGCAAGGUGUCAACUGGUUCCUCCAACAACCGAUCAUUUUUGUCCUUUUUACUCUUUGGUUUACUUCCACUAACUGAAGCACAAACCACUGAAGAGUCCUGAAGUGACAGACUCGAGUCUGCAGCAACACUGAUGUCUGGCAAGGUGUCAACUGGUUCCUCCAACAACCGAUAAUUUUUGUCCUUUUUUCUCUUUUUCUUUUCUUUACUUCCACUAACUGAAGCACAAACCACUGAAGAGUCCUGAACUGAUAGACCAGAGUCUGCAGCAACACUGAUGUCUGGCAAGGUGUCAACUGGUUCCUCCAACAACCAAUCAUUUGUGCCCUUUUUUCUCUUUGGUUUACUUUCACUAACUGAAGCACAAACCACUGAAGAGUCCUGAACUAAUAGACCUGAGUCUGCAGCAAUACUGAUGUCUGGCAAGGUAUAAACUGUUUCCUCCAACAACCGAUCAUUUUUGACCUUUCUUCUUUUUUUACGCUUGACGUCAUCAAAGUGAAGUGCAGAAUAUUCAUUCUGACCCAAAUCAGCUUGUCUUGGUGCCAGGUUAUCUGAGAUCUCAGGGUCUUUAGUCUUUUUAUUUUUCUUCCUCUUCAGAAAUUUCAAUCCACCAAAAUUGAACAGUGGGGUCUCGGUCUUCUCUUCCUGUCUGACCAUGAGGAUAUCCUUACUACAACUUGAGUAAUCAUUUCCUAUGGAUCCUGAUUCGUAAUCCUCUAAUGGCAGUGAUGAAUGAUGGUGUGGAUCUUGCAUAUCCAAUGUCGUCUUGUCCUUUUCCUUUCUUACCUGGCAUAUAUCUCCAGCUGUUGGUGAGACUAUUUCACUCGGGUGAGUCCUCAGAGAUUUGGAAUAUUUAAGAAAGUCACCCUCCAUAUCUUCCAAGAUUAAUGAACCCUUUUUCUUUAUUAUCAAACCUAUGUCAUCAUGUGGUACUACAAUGCUUUCUAAGACUUCCUUAUCAUUUUCAACACUAGUCUCUUUUAAAGGACUUGAUUGAUUAUUUGGUUCUUGAAAAAGAUCCUGUGAGCUGAUGAAACCUCCACUAACACUACCAAAGUCUUCGUUUUCCAGUGGCUCGUGAUGUACGCUUUGAUGGAUAUCCUGGACUUGUACUUGGUGUUCACAGGAUGAGAUGUUCUCAAAGCAGAGUGCAUCUUCCUUUCCUUCUUUGUCCGUAGGGUUGUCCUGCAAAAUCUGGGUUUCGUUUCCAAGUGGCUCAUGAUGUACGCCUUGAUGGAUAUCCUGGACUUGUACUUGGUGUUCACAGGAUGAGAUGUUCUCCAAGCAGGGUGCAUCUUCCUUUCCUUCUUUGUCCGUAGGAUUGUCCUGCAAAAUCUGGGUUUCGUUUCCAAGUGGCUCAUGAUGUACGCCUUGAUGGAUAUCCUGGACUUGUACUUGGUGUUCACAGGAUGAGAUGUUCUCCAAGCAGGGUGCAUCUUCCCUUCCUUCUCUGUCCAUAGGGUUGUCCUGCAAAAUCUGGGUUUCGUCUUCAUCCUGGUCUACCAAAUUUGGCCGCUGCGUCUCCUCGUCUGACGUUUCAUCAAUUGGUUCCAUCCAGUUCCAUUCGGCAGAUUUCCUGCUUUUCUCACCGUUCUCCGUGGACCGAGACACUUCUAUAUUAAGUGAGCUGCUCUCAUUAUAUACAUCUGCAUCAUCUUGAGGCGCCAUCAGGUCUUCAGCAACUUUCCUGGUUUGAGAACACGUCUCCUGCUCCUCUUGACAUUUGUUGCUUUUCUUAGUGCACGUUUCUGGAGCCUGUCUCGUUUUCCAUUUCAGGGAUGGUAGCCAUGUUUGUUGGUUUCUUUUAUGUGUGUUCUCAAUAAAGCAAUCUUUAUCCUAAAACAAAAUCAGACAUAUUGAUUAACAAUAAUAAAAUGUCUGUUUGAUGGCUUGAGAGAAAACUAAAGAAUAACUAGAAAAGAAUGAAACAAUCAAUCAUGACGUUUCUGAAAAGUCAAAUGCUAAAACGACGAUGCAGAAUUACAAAUUUUGACUUCAAAACGGCAUUCAAAUGGAUCCUUGUUACUUGACGAACCUGCCACCCCUGAAGUCACAGAUACAAUGCAGUAAACAGUUUUUUUUUUAAACUUUCAGUCCCUCAAAGAAACCUUGAAAUGGUUCUAAAUGGCAGACAUUUUCACUGUUAAUCUGUUGCUGCUCAAAAAAGUGUUGCACUUACCAUUUAAGUUAUUUGUGAAGUGAUACAUUUGACAAAUUUUUGAACUUUUUCAGUCGAAAAAUUUGGUGUAUCCCUAAAUCACUAAUGCUUAAACUAAUGAGCAUUUGGUAGGAAACGGGGUGGGGCCAGCAAGGGUGUCAGUUAAAACUGCAACUGUCAGUAAUUCCAAAUUCAUAUGUUGAUUGGCUAAUUUGUGGUUUUAUUAGAUUUAUUUGCUCAUUUGCUGUUUUAUUAUUUUUUAAUUAUUAUUCAGGGUUUUUGUCCUAUUCAGUUUUUUGUUGCAUGGCAAAAAGUGAAAACAUCACAACUGUCAAAAUAUAACUGCAAAAUAUACCACUUUUUUAACGUCCUCAUCAUCAUCAUCAUCUUCUGUUUGCAUACUGCUUUCCUUCCGUCUGUAAAUUAAAUCCGAAAAAAGUCAAUAAAAGGACAGACGAAUAAAAUAGAUUAAUAUUGUGUAUUAAUAUGUUCACUCACCUCUUGACUGAAAUGAAAACAGCAAGAGUUUUCUGACAUGGAUUCAAUGUUUAUAACAUUCCUACCACAGCACUACUGUACUCGCAAUUCAGUUUUUUUGCAAGGUGUUGAUUCAUUUCAGCAGCUCCGAUUGUCUUUUCGGCUGCAAUUCCGACGACAGGUUUAUUUUAAUUUGCUCGUUCUAAUACGUUAUGAUAACAAAUGACACCAGGACUUGUAUGCUCGGACGCUCCACAUAAUUGUAACUGUUGAUAAAAUUUCUGUUAGAUGUCGAUUCAUUCAUUUAUUUAUGGAAGGAGUCACCGGUGGCAGCACUCUGUUUUCCACCACAGGAAAGUCUUCAGGACAGAAAAGAUCCUAGUUCCUCAGGAACAUGACAAAAUGAUCAACUUCAAGAAAGGUUGGUGAGGGGACUCAUGGACCUUCAAGAAUGUCAACCCUAACUAUAACUGGUUAAUAAGUACAUAAUUUAUUAGUAUACUGAGUAUAAUGUAAUCUUCGUUAUAGGAAAAUGAUCAACUUCACGGUCCUAACAGUAAGUCCUGCUUACUAAGGCUGCUCCACACCACUACAUUGUAGAUCUUUUUCCUCCAACAGCAUGGCCAAUGUCAAAUUACACGCUUCAACAGAAACAAAUAUAAAACCUACACAAUACUGUAUUCAUGUUUUGUAUAAUACAAUGGUAAACUCACUCAGAAAGCAAUAAAGAUGGACUCAGCUCUCCUCUUCUUUUGUCUCCAUGACCUUUGCUCAGCUUCAAUAUGCAUUUAAAGAACCCACCAACCUCUGAAUUCUGAUAGACGGAAAUAAAAUUAUAAAACGAUUACCUUCACCUUAUAUAGCUGGAACGAAAUGUAAUUUAUCUAAAAUUGAAGAAGAAGAAAAAAAGUUUCCAGACAUUUCCAUUUUCUGAGAAUGCACUUAAAUUGUUGCCAUUCCUUUAACAUUCGGCUGAUAGAUACAGUGCACUCCAUUAAUAUUGGCACCCUUGGUAUAUAUGAGCAAAGACGGCUGUGGUUGUGAUCUUUUGUUAAAAAAAAAAAAAAAAAAAAUUUCACAUAAAAAUACUCUGCUCUCAUGGAUAUCAAACAAUUGCACAAAAUAAGUUUAUCAAAAAAAUAACUUCUAUACAAUAUUUAUUUUUUUUUUAAUUAGAAUAUGUUAUAUACAAAAUAUACAAUGUGCAACAAUUAUUGGCACCACUAUGAGUUCAUGAGAAAAUAUAUUUUAAGUAUAUUCCCAUUGAUAUUUGAAAAAAAAAAAUUGUACAACAAAAUUUUUUUGGAUAAACCCGUGUCGUGUUUGCAAUCGUUUGAUAUCCAUGAGAGCAGAGUAUUUUUGUGAAUUUUUUAAACAAAAGAUCAAAAGUUUCAACAAUAAAGACAAUUUUUCACAGCCUUCUUUGCUCAUAUUUACCAAAGGUGCCAAUAUUAGUGGAGGGCACUCUAUAAGUCUAAAUUAGAUUAAUUAUUAAUUUAAAGUCUUAUUUAUAGAACAAUUUAAAUGAUAAUAGUGUACCAUGGUUUGGGAGGGGGAUGUAAGGCGGUUACAAUAUUCUAAGGUGG